GAUGAACGCUGGCGGCGUGCUUAACACAUGCAAGUCGAACGAUCCUGCUCCGCUUUUUUGUUGGAUUAGUGUCGAUCGGGUGCGGAACACUUAAGUAACCUUCCCCUGCCUCUGGGAUAAGCGCUGGAGACGGCGUCUAAUACCAGUUCCUGGCUUUCUCCGCAUGUUGCGUUGCUGGAAAUAAUUUCGUUCAAGGAUGGUUUCGCGGCCUAUCAGGUAGUUGGUGCGGUGACGGCUCACCAAGCCGACGACGGGUAGCCGGCCUGAGAGGGUGACCGGCCACACUGGGACUGAGACACGGCCCAGACUCCUACGGGAGGCAGCAGUGGGGAAUAUUGCACAAUGGGCGCAAGCCGGAUGCAGCAACGCCGCGUGAGGACGAAGGCCUUCGGGUCGUAAACCUCUUUUAGCAGGGAAGAAGCGAAAGUGACGGUACCUGCAGAAAAAGCACCGGCUAAAUAAGUG
rnacentral:rRNA from 1 species